GAUGAGACAUCGAUUUUAUGGAAUGGAGGAGAAGAUUUAACAGCUAGAAAUUAACAAAAAUCCUGCAAGAGCAUCGAGAUCUCGCUUUUGGCGAGUGGAAGUCCAAAGGCAAAGUGCAGCGGUUUGCAGUUCUUAGCCUCACUUUUUUGGACCUAACAAGACAGGAAAAGAAUAGUCAAAGAGGAAACCCGAGUAGCCAGAUGAUAAUAUAUGAAACCAUGAGCAGCCAGCCAUUGAAACUCUCAGCAAUUUGAAUAACAAUUUUGAUUGAUUACCAAUCAUGUAUCAUACCUAUUAAUAGAAAAUUAAAACUGUUAGGUACCUAUGUUUUAAUUGAAAUUCAAAAUAUUGUUUAAUGUUUUAUAAGUAUUUAUUAAAUAAAUUGUCACACAUAUAUUUUGUUUUAAUCC